CCUACGGGGUGCAGCAGUGGGGAAUAUUGGACAAUGGGGGGAACCCUGACCGAGCAACGCCGCGUGAGUGAAGAAGUAUUUCGGUAUGUAAAGUUCUAUCAGCAGGGAAGAAAAUGACGUUCCCUGGUUACGAAUCCCCGCAUACCUACGUGCCAGCAGCCGCGGUAAUACGUAGGGGGCAAGCUUUAUCCGGAUUUACUGGGUGUAAAGGGAGCGUAGACGGGGGAGCAAGUCUAAUGUGAAAGGUCGGGGCCGAACCCCGGGACUGCAUUGGAAACUGUGGAACUGGAGUACAGGAGAGGUAAGCGGAAUUCCUAGUGUAGCGGUGAAAUGCGUAGAUAUUAGGAGGAACACCAGUGGCGAAGGCGGCUUACUUGACUGUAACUGACGUUGAGGCUCGAAAGCGUGGGGAGCAAACAGGAUUAGAUACCCUGGUAGUC
rnacentral:rRNA from 1 species